UAGGGAAUCUUCCACAAUGGGCGCAAGCCUGAUGGAGCAACACCGCGUGAGUGAAGAAGGGUUUCGGCUCGUAAAGCUCUGUUGUUAAAGAAGAACACGUAUGAGAGUAACUGUUCAUUCGAUGACGGUAUCUAACCAGCAAGUCACGGCUAACUACGUACCAG
rnacentral:rRNA from 1 species